rnacentral:rRNA from 1 species
AACGAUGAAUUUAUAACAAACAAAACUUUUUAAAAGAUGAUAUAAAAAAUAAUGUAAGUCUAAUUAAAUAAAUAUAAAUAUCAUAAUCAUCUAAAAAAUAAUAUGUAUUAAAACAAGGAUUAGAUACCCUUUUAUUCAUAUAUUAAAAUAAUAAAGUUAGGUAUUAACAACAAUAGUUCUAAAUCUAAAAAAUUUGGCGGUACUUUAAUAAAUCAGGGGAACUUGCAUACUAAAUCGAUAACCCACGAAAUUCUUACCAUUAUUUGAAACUCAGUUAGUAUACUGCCGUGUUAAUAUAAAUUUAUAAUUAUAUAUAAAUAAAAUAAAUUAUUUUUUACAACAGGUCAAAAUGCAGCUUAUAUAAUGGGUAUAUGUGAGUUACAAUAUUAAAAAUAAAUAGAUUAAAUAAUUAAAAAUAAUAUAAAAAUGGACUUGAUAGUAAUUAAAUAAAUUAAUGAAUUAACUAUUAAAGUGUGUACAAAUCGCCCGUCACUCCAAAAUUAAA